GAGGGUUAUGAGGUUGUCGCUGCUAACGAUGAUUGGAAUUUUUAUUGAUUCGGCCUUCU
rnacentral:tRNA from 1 species